CAGACGGAGGGGCUAGGGGCGGUUGGCCCAGAGUGGACACCAUGUGAGUCCCUACUAGGUCCCAUGCAAACAUCCGCGGCCGGCUGACUCUUGCUUCCGAGUUUGCGUUCCAGCAGCUGGAACACAACACAGAAGCUAUUAUCUGCUCCAGGCUCCAGCUAGCUGCCACUUCCGGGUGCCGUUAGACGGGAGCAGUCAGUGUCUGCAGCUGCAGGGCUCGUGUUAGUGGAAACAUGUGACAUGCCGUUGUGGCCGGACAGAGCUGCCAGGGUGGUCAGAAGUGAAGCCAUACCUCAGCAGCGUCAGACAGUGUGCUGGGAGAUAAGGAUCGUCUGACCAUGGAGGACGAUCUGAUUGGAUAGUAUGGGGGCAGGUGGAAGGUGUACUGUGCCUUGCUGAACACUGUUUGCAAGUGAAGCGGGGAAAGGUCCCAUCCAGAGAGGUUCCAGCUCCUGUCUCCAGACUUCUGCUAUAGAGACCCGCACCAGCAUUCCAUCUGCGGUGUAGCCUGACUCUCCGAUCCAUUCUGGACUCACCUGUUUCCAGCUACAACAAUCACCUGCUUCCAGCCCAGCUUCCAGCAGUGUACAGCUUCUCUUAAAGGGCCGGUGUCCUUUCUGCAGUUUACCACUCUCCACCGGUAUUAUUAUUUCACCGCUCUCAAACAAUCACCUGCUUCCAGCCCAGCUUCCAGCAGUGUAUAGCUUCUCUUAAAGGGCCGGUGUCCUUUUCUGCAGUUCACCACUCUCCACCGGUAUUAUUAUUUCACCGCUCUCAAACUCCAAACUUCAUUAUUAUUUCAUCGCUCUCAAGUUCGUUUAUUAUUUAACUGGUUCCAGCCAGUAUCCACUCCGUACCAACAACAGUCUGGUUCCAGCCAGUAUCCACAGCAGCCGUUUUACCUUCAGCAGCCCAGCCUUUCCUGGAACAUCAGCUGGUACGAUCCUGGGUUCUCUCCAUUGCUACAGUCAGGCCUGGUAAGGACUUUCCAACUAGAAGAUUAUAAGAACUGUCUCACACUACUAGUGCCUGUGGCCCUUGCCACCCUGUAGUACCCAGGAAUUGUAUUUAUCCUCUGUUGACUUUUAUGUUUCCUUUUACUGCUGCUGUGUUACGGAGUUUGUCAUAAUAAACAUCAUUGACUUUUA